GAUGACAUAUACACCUGUUCAAAAGCUAGCAUGCUCCUGCUAGCUUUUGAGAAAGUGUACUUGUCAUAUAUAUAACAAAUCAGCCAAGUUUAUGCUGAUUGUCAACAAAGAAAAUUUGGCAAAGUAAUUUGAGCACUUGUGUGCAGUUGGUCAGAGAUCUAUUUUUAGUAAAAGCUAUCGUGGCAGCCAGAAAAAACCAAAAUCUUGUUACAGGAAAUUUGUUGUACGUAAACACGUGAAGUUGGCAAUUCAUUUAAAACUU